GGGGUAGUAAAGGUUUCGACAGGGGCUUUGCAGCUGGAGAAGCUAUCCGGUGCGAUCCGUUAAUCGCAAACUUAAAUAUAAACGCUGACGAAAAUCAGUACGCAUUUGCAGCCUAAGCUGUAAAUGACGCCGCUUAUGCGGCUCGUCUGUCCCGGUGCACUCACACAUCGGGGUACAGGCGUCAAAGAUGUGAGAAACGACUUGCGUUAAGCUUUGCGCGCAUGGGCGUAUUAUGAAGCUACCUUCUUAUAGGCUUUGUCUGUGGGACUUAUAGGAAGGGAAACGGAGCAAUCCAAAACCACCGACUGUGAUAGAAGAAGUACAGGGAAUGGGUCUUUGGACACGGGUUCGACUCCCGUCUACUCCACU
rnacentral:tmRNA from 1 species